rnacentral:rRNA from 1 species
AGUGAACGCUGGCGGUAGGCCUAACACAUGCAAGUCGAACGGCAGCACAGUAAGAGCUUGCUCUUACGGGUGGCGAGUGGCGGACGGGUGAGGAAUACAUCGGAAUCUACUUUUUCGUGGGGGAUAACGUAGGGAAACUUACGCUAAUACCGCAUACGACCUACGGGUGAAAGCAGGGGAUCUUCGGACCUUGCGCGAUUGAAUGAGCCGAUGUCGGAUUAGCUAGUUGGCGGGGUAAAGGCCCACCAAGGCGACGAUCCGUAGCUGGUCUGAGAGGAUGAUCAGCCACACUGGAAGUGAGACACGUUCCAGACUCCGACGGGAGGCAGCAGUGGGGAAUAUUGGACGAUGGGGGCAAGCCUGAUCCAGCCAUACCGCGUGGGUGAAGAAGGCCUUCGGGUUGGAAAGCCCUUUUGUUGGGAAAGAAAAGCAGCAGGUUAAUACCCCGCUGUUCUGACGGUACCCAAAGAAUAAGCACCGGCUAACUUCGUG